ACCAAGGAGUUUGACAUAUGUAUGAGUCAAUAAGCGAGUAAAACCAUAAGUCAUAAGGAAGAUGAUUAGUGGGAUCCCUAUGAGGUGUGCACCGCCGAUUGACCUUGAUCUUUUGAGAAGGGUUCGAGUGUGAGCAUACCUGUCAGGACCCAAAAGAUGGUGAACUAUGCCUGAGCAGGGCAAAGCCAGAGAAAACGUUAGUGGAGGCCCACAACAUUACUAACAUAUAAAUUGUUCAUCUAACUUAGGUAUAGGGGCAAAAUACUAAUGGAACCGUCUAAUAGCUGGUUCCCUCAGAAGUUUCCCUUAGGAUAGCUAGAGCACGCAUGCAAGUUCUAUCGGGUAAAACCAAAGAUUAGAGGACUCGGGGAUGCAACGCCCUUGACCUAUUCUUAAACUUUAAAUAGGUAGGAUGGCACAACUGCUUUGUUGAGAUACGCCAUGGAAUCAAGAGCUCCAAGUGGGCAAUUUUUGGUAAGCAGUACUGGCAAUGCGGGAUGAAUUGGAAGCUUUGUUAUGGUGCCAAACUGUGCACUAACCUUGAUCCCACAAAGAGUGUUAGUCGAUUAAGAUAGAAAGAUGGUGGUCAUGGAAGUUGAAAUCCACUAAGAUGUGAGUAACAACUCACCUCCCGAAUAAACUAUCCCCAAAAAGUGAUUGCACUUAUGCGCGCGACCUACACCCGACCUUCGAGGCAAGUGCCAGGCCCCGAUGAGUAAGAGGUCAUAGCGGUUCCUACAAAAACAUGGGCUCGAGCGCGCUAAGCUUGAU
rnacentral:ncRNA from 1 species